UACAGUGACUGCAAGCGUUACUCGGAUUCACUGGGCGUAAAGGGAGCGCAGGCGGACCGGUGUGUCAGAUGUGAAACCCCAGGGCUCAACCCUGGGACUGCGUCUGAAACUGCCGGUCUAGGGACUCGGAGGGGCUAGUGGAAUUCCUGGUGGAGCAGUGAAAUGCGUAGAUAUCAGGAGGAACACCAACGGCGAAGGCAGCUAGCUGGACGAGAUCCGACGCUCAGGCUCGAAAGUAUGGGGAGCAAAAAGG
rnacentral:rRNA from 1 species